rnacentral:tRNA from 1 species
GGGGUUGUAGCUCAGUGGUAGAGCACUCACCUAGCAUAUGCGAGGCCCUCAGCACCACAUAUAAAUAAAUAAAUAAAAUAAAGGUAUUCUGUCAACUACAACUAAUAUAUAUAUAUAUAUAAAGAAAACAAUUUGUUUAAAAAAAUUUUGUAAAAUGUGGGGCUGGGAUUGUGGCUCAGCAGUAGAAUGCUCGCCUAGCAUGUGCGAGGCCCUGGGUUCAAUCCUCAGCACUACA